rnacentral:piRNA from 1 species
ACAGAAGGAUAGGUUACUGGGU